GAUGAACGCUAGCGGCAGGCCUAAUACAUGCAAGUCGAACGCUCAGUAGCAAUACUGGGAGUGGCGCACGGGUGCGUAACGCGUACACAAUCUACCUCUAAGCGGGGGACACCUCCUGGAAACGGGGAUUAAUACCGCAUAAUAUGCCGAAGUCGCAUGACUUUGGUAUUAAAGCAGCAAUGCACUUAGAGAUGAGUGUGCGUCCCAUUAGGUAGUUGGUGAGGUAACGGCUCACCAAGCCUAUGAUGGGUAGCCGGUCUGAGAGGAUGGUCGGCCACACGGGCACUGAGACACGGGCCCGACUCCUACGGGAGGCAGCAGUAAGAUAUUGGUCAAUGGUGGAAACACUGAACCAGCCACGCCGCGUGGAGGAAUAAGGUCCUACGGAUUGU
rnacentral:rRNA from 1 species